AGGUUAAGUGGAAGACACGGAGCCGUAGCGAAAGCGAGUCUGAAUAGGGCGAUUUAGUAUGCGGUCGUAGACCCGAAACCGUGUGAUCUACCCAUGUCCAGGGUGAAGGUCAGGUAACACUGACUGGAGGCCCGAACCCACGUAUGUUGAAAAAUGCGGGGAUGAGGUGUGGGUAGGGGUGAAAUGCCAAUCGAACACGGAGAUAGCUGGUUCUCUCCGAAAUAGCUUUAGGGCUAGCCUCAAGAUGAUGAGUACUGGAGGUAGAGCACUGAUUGGACUAGGGGCCCUCAUCGGGUUACCGAAUUCAGUCAAACUCCGAAUGCCAGAUACUUAAACUUGGGAGUCAGACUAUGGGUGAUAAGGUUCAUAGUCGAAAGGGAAACAGCCCAGACCACCAGCUAAGGUCCCAAAGUAUACGUUAAGUGGAAAAGGAUGUGGAGUUGCUUAGACAACCAGGAUGUUGGCUUAGAAGCAGCCACCAUUUAAAGAGUGCGUAAUAGCUCACUGGUCGAGUGACUCUGCGCCGAAAAUGUACCGGGGCUAAACGUAUCACCGAAGCUGUGGAUUGUUCUUACGAACAAUGGUAGGAGAGCGUUCUAAGUGCUGUGAAGUCAGACCGUGAGGACUGGUGGAGCGCUUAGAAGUGAGAAUGCCGGUAUGAGUAGCGAAAAAAGAGUGAGAAUCUCUUUCACCGAAUGCCUAAGGUUUCCUGAGGAAGGCUCGUCCUCUCAGGGUUAGUCGGGACCUAAGCCGAGGCCGAAAGGCGUAGGCGAUGGACAACAGGCAGAUAUUCCUGUACCACCUCAUGACCGUUUGAGCGAUGGGGGGACGCAGUAGGAUAAGGAAUGCGCACGGAUGGAUGUGUGCGCCCAAGCAGUGAGAAAGUCAGGUAGGCAAAUCCGCCUGGCCAUUUCAAGCUGUGAUGGGGAGGCCUUCUGGCCGAAGUUCCUGAUUUCACACUGCCGAGAAAAGCCUCUAGCAAGGUCACAGGUGCCCGUACCGCAAACCGACACAGGUAGGCGAGGAGAGAAUCCUAAGGUGAGCGGGAGAACUCUCGUUAAGGAACUCGGCAAAAUGACCCCGUAACUUAGGGAGAAGGGGUGCUCUACGGAGUAGAGCCGCAGUGAAUAGGCCCAAGCGACUGUUUAGCAAAAACACAGGUCUCUGCGAAGCCGAAAGGCGAAGUAUAGGGGCUGACACCUGCCCGGUGCUGGAAGGUUAAGGGGAAGAGUUAGGGCUUUUGCCCGAAGCUUAGAACCGAAGCCCCAGUAAACGGCGGCCGUAACUAUAACGGUCCUAAGGUAGCGAAAUUCCUUGUCGGGUAAGUUCCGACCCGCACGAAAGGUGCAACGACUUGGGCACUGUCUCAACGAGAGACCCGGUGAAAUUAUACGAUGCGUGAAGAUGCGCAUUACCCGCGACAGGACGGAAAGACCCCGUGGAGCUUUACUGUAGCCUGAUAUUGAAUGUCUGUGCAGCUUGUACAGGAUAGGUGGGAGCCUUAGAAACGUGAGCGCCAGCUUACGUGGAGGCAUCCGUGGGAUACCACCCUGGCUGUAUGGACCUUCUAACCCAGGACCGUGAUCCGGUUCGGAGACAGUGUCAGGCGGGCAGUUUGACUGGGGCGGUCGCCUCCCAAAAGGUAACGGAGGCGCCCAAAGGUUCCCUCAGAAUGGUUGGAAAUCAUUCGCAGAGUGUAAAGGCAGAAGGGAGCUUGACUGCGAGACCUACAAGUCGAGCAGGGACGAAAGUCGGGCUUAGUGAUCCGGUGGUUCCGCAUGGAAGGGCCAUCGCUCAACGGAUAAAAGCUACCCCGGGGAUAACAGGCUUAUCUCCCCCAAGAGUUCACAUCGACGGGGAGGUUUGGCACCUCGAUGUCGGCUCAUCGCAUCCUGGGGCUGUAGUCGGUCCCAAGGGUUGGGCUGUUCGCCCAUUAAAGCGGUACGCGAGCUGGGUUCAGAACGUCGUGAGACAGUUCGGUCCCUAUCCGUCGUGGGCGUUGGAAGUUUGAGAGGAGCUGUCCUUAGUACGAGAGGACCGGGAUGGACAUACCGCUGGUGUACCAGUUGUUCCGCCAGGAGCAUAGCUGGGUAGCUACGUAUGGAAAGGAUAAGUGCUGAAAGCAUCUAAGCAUGAAGCCCCCCUCAAGAUGAGACUUCCCAUCAUUUUAAAUGAGUAAGAUCCCUCAGAGACGAUGAGGUUAAUAGGUUUGAGGUGGAAGCGUGGCGACACGUGGAGCUGACAAAUACUAAUCGAUCGAGGACUUAACUAA
rfam:Bacilli bacterium VT-13-104 contig040, whole genome shotgun sequence.